GCUCCAGGCGUCGAGCGGCGGACGGGUGAGUAAUGCAUAGGAAUCUGCCCGGUAGUGGGGGAUAACCUGGGGAAACCCAGGCUAAUACCGCAUACGUCCUACGGGAGAAAGCAGGGGAUCUUCGGACCUUGCGCUAUCGGAUGAGCCUAUGUCGGAUUAGCUUGUUGGUGAGGUAAUGGCUCACCAAGGCGACGGKMSGUAGCUGGUCUGAGAGGAUGAUCAGCCACAUCGGGACUGAGACACGGCCCGAACUCCUACGGGAGGCAGCAGUGGGGAAUAUUGGACAAUGGGCGAAAGCCUGAUCCAGCCAUGCCGCGUGUGUGAAGAAGGCUUUCGGGUUGUAAAGCACUUUCAGUGAGGAAGAAAGCCUUGGGGCUAAUACCCCCAAGGGACGACAUCACUCACAGAAGAAGCACCGGCUAACUCCGUGCCAGCAGCCGCGGUAAUACGGAGGGUGCGAGCGUUAAUCGGAAUUACUGGGCGUAAAGCGCGCGUAGGCGGCGUGAUAAGCCGGUUGUGAAAGCCCCGGGCUCAACCUGGGAACGGCAUCCGGAACUGUCAGGCUAGAGUGCAGGAGAGGAAGGUAGAAUUCCCGGUGUAGCGGUGAAAUGCGUAGAGAUCGGGAGGAAUACCAGUGGCGAAGGCGGCCUUCUGGACUGACACUGACGCUGAGGUGCGAAAGCGUGGGUAGCAAACAGGAUUAGAUACCCUGGUAGUCCACGCCGUAAACGAUGUCGACUAGCCGUUGGGGUCCUUGAGACCUUUGUGGCGCAGUUAACGCGAUAAGUCGACCG
rnacentral:rRNA from 1 species